AGAGUUAACCAGGCAAUCGCUGCUUUCGUAAGAAAGGAGAGGAAAGUCCGGACUCCAUAGGGCAGGGUGUUGGCUAACAGCCAUCCACGGUGACGUGCGGAAUAGGGCCUGGCCCGUCGAGUUUGCGGGUAGGGAGCUUGAGCCUGUAGGUAACUGCAGGCCUAGAGGAAUGAUUGCCCCUUAAUGCAAAUUAGGGCGACAGAAUCCGGCUUAUCGGUUAACUCUGCAC
rnacentral:RNase_P_RNA from 1 species